AUACGUAGGUGGCGAGCGUUAUCCGGAUUUACUGGGUGUAAAGGGUGUGUAGGCGGGUUGUCAAGUCAGAUGUGAAAUGCCGUGGCUUAACCACGGCACUGCAUCAGAAACUGGCAAUCUUGAGGGUGGGAGAGGUAAGCGGAAUUCCUGGUGUAGCGGUGAAAUGCGUAGAUAUAUGGAGGAACACCAGUGGCGAAGGCGGCUCUCUGGUCUGUAACUGACGCUGAGGCUCGAAAGCGUGGGGAGC
rnacentral:rRNA from 1 species